rnacentral:sRNA from 1 species
GCGGAGGAAAAGAAACCAACAGGGAUUGCCCUAGUAACGGCGAGUGAAGCGGCAACAGCUCAAAUUUGAAAUCUGGCUCUUUCAGAGUCCGAGUUGUAAUUUGCAGAGGGCGCUUUGGUGUUGGCAGCGGUCCAAGUUCCUUGGAACAGGACGUCACAGAGGGUGAGAAUCCCGUACGUGGUCGCUAGCCUUCGCCGUGUAAAGCCCCUUCGACGAGUCGAGUUGUUUGGGAAUGCAGCUCUAAAUGGGAGGUAAAUUUCUUCUAAAGCUAAAUACUGGCCAGAGACCGAUAGCGCACAAGUAGAGUGAUCGAAAGAUGAAAAGCACUUUGGAAAGAGAGUCAAAUAGCACGUGAAAUUGUUGAAAGGGAAGCGCUUGCAGCCAGACUUGCCUGUAGUUGCUUAUCCGGACUUUUGUCCGGUGCACUCUUCUGCGGGCAGGCCAGCAUCAGUUUGGGCGGUUGGAUAAAGGUCUCUGUCAUGUACCUCUCUUCGGGGAGAACUUAUAGGGGAGACGACAUGCAACCAGCCUGGACUGAGGUCCGCGCAUCUGCUAGGAUGCUGGCGUAAUGGCUGUAAGCGGCCCGUCUUGAAACACGGACCAAGGAGUCUAACAUCUAUGCGAGUGUUUGGGUGUCAAGCCCAGACGCGUAAUGAAAGUGAACGGAGGUGGGAACCCUUUGGGUGCACCAUCGACCGAUCCUGAUGUCUUCGGAUGGAUUUGAGUAAGAGCAUGGCUGUUGGGACCCGAAAGAUGGUGAACUAUGCUUGAAUAGGGUGAAGCCAGAGGAAACUCUGGUGGAGGCUCGCAGCGGUUCUGACGUGCAAAUCGAUCGUCAAAUUUGGGCAUAGGGGCGAAAGACUAAUCGAACUAUCUAGUAGCUGGUUCUGCG